UACGGAGGGGGCAAGCGUUGUUCGGAAUUACUGGGCGUAAAGCGCGCGUAGGCGGUUGGUCUAGUCAGGCGUGAAAGCCCCGGGCUUAACCCGGGAACUGCGCUUGAUACUGGCCAACUAGAGUCCGGGAGAGGAGAGUGGAAUUCCCAGUGUAGAGGUGAAAUUCGUAGAUAUUGGGAAGAACACCAGUGGCGAAGGCGGCUCUCUGGACCGGUACUGACGCUGAGGUGCGAAAGCGUGGGGAGCAAACAGG
rnacentral:misc_RNA from 1 species